rnacentral:rRNA from 1 species
UACAGAGGUCCCAAGCGUUGUUCGGAUUCACUGGGCGUAAAGGGUGCGUAGGUGGUCGGGUAAGUCUGAUGUGAAAGCUCGGAGCUCAACUCCGAAAUGGCAUUGGAUACUAUUCGGCUAGAGGGUUUGAGGGGGGACUGGAAUACUUGGUGUAGCAGUGAAAUGCGUAGAUAUCAAGUGGAACACCAGUGGCGAAGGCGAGUCCCUGGAACGCAACUGACGCUGAGACGCGAAAGCGUGGGGAGCAAACAGG